rnacentral:rRNA from 1 species
CAGUAGCACGGUAAUACAGAGGGUGCGAGCGUUAAUCGGAUUUACUGGGCGUAAAGCGUGCGUAGGCGGCUUCUUAAGUCGGAUGUGAAAUCCCUGAGCUUAACUUAGGAAUUGCAUUCGAUACUGGGAAGCUAGAGUAUGGGAGAGGAUGGUAGAAUUCCAGGUGUAGCGGUGAAAUGCGUAGAGAUCUGGAGGAAUACCGAUGGCGAAGGCAGCCAUCUGGCCUAAUACUGACGCUGAGGUACGAAAGCAUGGGGAGCAAACAGGAUUAGAGACCCGCGUAGUCCCUGUCUCUUAUACA